AGGCUGGCGGCUCCCCGGAGCGCGCCCAGUCGGCCCUGCCUCGCCGCGCCCCCGCCCCUGGGCUCUGGGAACGCGCGGUCCCGCUAGCCUGAAGACCAGCUGAUGGCCGCGGAGCCCACUCGGUAUCUGCACCAGCUAGGCCCCUGGCCCCCAGAGCUGGCCGUUACUGCACUGUCUCUACUCCCGGCUUUAAACAGGAGGAAGGGAGCUGAACGGAACCUUCGAGCUUUUAAAGCCAGGAGUGGCCAGUCACCCCAGUACUCAGGAGACUGAGGCUGAGGGUUCAUGAGUUACAUAGGACAACCUGGACUGUAGAGGGAGCCUGUGAGUAUGGAAGAUGGGGUGCUACAAAGAAAAUGGAGACGUUGAAUACAAUCAUGGGAGAAAAAUAUCUUGCAACUACAAAUCUAAUUUCGUUUUUUUUUUUAAGUAUUUAUUUAUUUUAUGUCUAUGAGUACACUGUAGCUGUCAUCAGACAUACCAGAAGAGGGCAUCGGAUCCCAUUACAGAUGGUUGUGAGCCACCAUGUGGUUGCUGGGAAUUGAACUCAGGACCUCUGAAAGAGCAGUCAGUGCUCUUAACCACUGAGCCAUCUCUCCAGCCCCACAAAUCUAAUUUCUAUGUAUGGAAUUAAGCUCUUGAAAUUAAGAUGGUGGAUAAUUGUCAAAGCAAGGGUUGCUGGGCUUGAAUGCAACAGAACUGUGCAAAGAAAGCACAGGAAGAUGGCUGGGUGGAGUGACCAUACCCCACACAUAUGAAAAUUUAAAACAUGCAAUCGCAAUAGCACAAACUCUGCAGACAAUGGAAAUAGAAUGUAAUUAUUUUCUGCUUAUGAAGUAAUAUGAAUUGAAGCUAGACUGCAAACAGGCUAAAAGGCUUAGCAGGAAGCAGAGUUUGAUGUCAUUCUUGUCCUAACAACUCCAGUGUCUACACCAAAAGAAUGGCUGGGGAAUCAGAGUUCAGACUGGGGUCUGGGCAAUAUAGAAAUACCCCAUCUGGGCUGGUGAGAUGGCUCAGUGGGUAAGAGCACCCGACUGCUCUUCCGAAGGUCAGGAGUUCAAAUCCCAGCAACCACAUGGUGGCUCACAACCAUCUGUAAUGAGAUCUGACUCCCUCUUCUGGAGUAUCUGAGGACAGCUACAGUGUACUUACAUAUAAUAAAUAAAUAAAUAAAUAAAUAAAUAAAUAAAUCUUCAAA